rnacentral:rRNA from 1 species
CCUACGUGGGGCAGCAGUGAGGAAUAUUGGUCAAUGGGCGCGAGCCUGACCCAGCCAAGUCGCGUGAGGGAAGACGGUCCUAUGGAUUGUAAACCUCUUUUGUCGGGGAGCAAAAGACGCCACGCGUGGCGUUCCGAGAGUACCCGAAGAAAAAGCAUCGGCUAACUCCUUGCCAGCCGCCGCGGUAAUACGGAGGAUGCGAGCGUUAUCCGGAUUUAUUGGGUUUAAAGGGUGCGCAGGCGGAAGAUCAAGUCAGCCGUAAAAUUGAGCGGCGCAACCUCGUCGAGCCGUUGAAACUGGUUUUCUUGAGUGAGUGAGAAGUAUGCGGAAUGCGUGGUGUAGCGGUGAAAUGCAGAGAUAUCACGCAGAACUCCGAUUGCGAAGGCAGCAUACCGGCGCUCAACUGACGCUCAUGCACGAAAGUGUGGGUAUCGAACAGGAGUAGAUACCCCUGUAGUC